GGAUGUGGCUGAGCUCAGCGAUGUAGCGAUGUCAGGACUUUCCAAACUUUUUGUGCCGCCUGGGCGGUGCAGAUUUACUUUAGCACCCCUCCCACCGGAUUCCUCUUUCUUAACAGGUCUUUAAUCAAGUCUAAGCUGCCCGAAGCUGAUUCCAUGUUUUCAUCAUGCAUCACUGUGAAUGCCUGAAUUUUUGCCCAUUCUACGAACGCUGCAGUCCGUAUAUGCCCGCACAGCCCUGAGAGGAGGUCUCGUCAACCAAAAUAAGUAAAAAACACUUCUGUGGGUGUACCGUGGCUGCGUGGACCAACCGUGGAGAGACAAACACAAUUACAAAAAAGACAUGUAUUUGUUUGGGACUCACUGGAGGUUACUAGUGUUAUGUGUUGUGAACUGUACAAUCUGCCCAGCAGCCCCU